GAAAUAUCCACCACAAUUGGGUACCUAAAUUAUCUACGUAGAGUAAAUACGUGUGUUAAAUUGGACAACCCCAUCAACUUGAUGCUUCCAUGUCCACCUCUCCCUAAAGAAAGGGUGUGUGGAUGCAGAGCCAGUGGUAUUCCUCUGUUAGAGGCUGUUUUAUGACCUGAAGAGUCUCUCUAAAGGACAGAGACUGUUGGUCCAUAAGGUGGCAUUUUGCCUCAUUGAAUCCUGCACACAGAGUCCAUUUGAACCCUGCAUCUAGCCUUG
rnacentral:lncRNA from 1 species